rnacentral:lncRNA from 1 species
UGAAAACAAUUUUUGUUGCCCAUAAAAAGCACAGCUGGGCCGGGCGCGGUGGCUCACGCCUGUAAUCCCAGCGCUUUGGGAGGCGGAGGCGGGCGGAUCACGAGGUCAGGAGAUCUAGACCAUCCUGGCUAACACAGAGAAACCCUGUCUCUACUAAAAAUACAAAAAAAUUAGCCGGGCGUGGUAGUGGUUGCCUGUAGUCCCAGCUAUUCGGGAGGCUGAGGCAGGAGAAUGGCAUGAAC